rnacentral:lncRNA from 1 species
UCUAAGUAUGACAUCUGCCGCUGAGCUCCAAAGCUCUGUGAUAAGCUGCGGGCUCCUGCCAUUAACCCAGAAGAGGCCUUUCCUUUGUUGUGCUUUCCCUGGAAGUAGAAAAUAACUGCCCUGAAUGCACUCCAUCCCACAUCCCAGAACAUCACCACAAAGCUAGCCACGUGCUCCGUGCUCCAUGGACCCCAGAUGACUUGUGUGCCUCGGGGCAGGAGUUCAGAAGGAAGCACUGCCUUCCCAGAGUGGGACCGUCAGCACUGGACUCAAUCAGCCUCAUGAAGACACGCCUGGGCAAUCUCCUGCAAACUCAGAGGGAUGAGAGGGCAAAACAGGACAAAGCAAAUCAGAGCAAAGAGCAAAGGAGAGACAUACACACGUGCCAAGGUGCACAAGUGGAUGUCAGAAGCUCUUUUGCUACAUAAUGGAUUCGAGACUACCCUAGACUACACAAGACCCUGCCUCAAAAAAAGAAGAGAGAGAGACUGAGAAGUAAGUAUACUUCUUACUUACUUACUUACUAACUACUGCGGGCCAUCUAAGAACUUAAAAGCUCUCUGCACAAGGGUCAGCCGUGGCUGUUCACACUCAUAACCCUAACCCUAACAAGGCUAGGGUUGCAAGGAUGGAGCAAGAGGAUCCCAGAUUUGGGAUCAGCUUGGGCUACAUAGCAAGCUGCCAUUUCAAGAAGACGAGGAGGAGAGAAAGGAAGAGGAAGACCAUCUUCCAGACUGGUGCUCGUCCAGCGUGUGCAAUAUCCUGGAUUCCAUCUCAGCACUGAACUCCCUCUCUGAGUGCCCCUCCCCGCAAAACCCAACUCUGUCUAUCUUAUUUCAGAACAGUGUCAGCCCAGCAUCCAUGUAUCUUAUCCAUUGGCUGGAUCAUUGAUUACCCAGUAACUUUGCUGUUAAACUUAAUGAGCCACCACCCAGUAGUGGUGACACACGCCUUUAAUCCCAGCACUUGAGAGGCAGAGGCUGGCAGAUCUCUGUGAGUUUGAGGCCAGCCUGGUCUACAGAGUGAGUUCCAGGACAGCCAGGACUGAUUCACAGAGAAACCCUGUCUCGAAAAACAAAAAUGAAACAAAAACAAACAAACAAAAAACAAGCAAAAGCCUUGAUAAAGCCUCAAAGAAUUAUGAUUUCAAGGUCCCUUUCCUGCCCACAUUUGUUCAGGGGAAACUUUUGAACAUUUAACUUCCAUAUAGAGGCUAUGUAAUAAGUAUACAGCUAUAUAAUUUGUUCCCAGAAACAGUGAUGAAUACAGACCGAGCCAGUUAAGGGAGACAACUGCGUAUUUUUAAUGCUCUUUAGGGACAUCCUAAAAUAAACUUGUUUGUUUUCCUUUUUUUUUAAGUUGGAGGAGAAGAAUGAGGGGUUAUGGUUUGAUGAUUUUGGAGUUUCGUGGAUAGCAGGUAACAGUGGUUACACAAUGACAUGAAUAGAACUCAAGUGUCAUCAAACUUUAUUCCGGGAAGCAGUUAAGAGGUAAGUUUCAUGUUAGCAUGUACUUUGUCACAAAUUUUUGGAGACAGUAAGAUAGCUACUUUUCCACUCAAAACUACUAAAUCAUAUCCCACACAUCCAUUAAGUCAGGGCUAAACUUUACAGGAACUAACAGAUAGGGCAAAACUUUUAAUAAUAAAGCAAAAGUCCUCCAAUAGCAACAGUGGCUCCUCUCUUAAUGGUGUGUGUGUGUGUGUGUGUGUGUGUG